rnacentral:misc_RNA from 1 species
GAUGAAGAACGCAGCGAAAUGCGAUAAGUAGUGUGAAUUGCAGAAUUCAGUGAAUCAUCGAAUCUUUGAACGCACAUUGCGCCCUUUGGUAUUCCUUAGGGCAUGCCUGUUCGAGCGUCAUUUUAACCCUCAAGCUCAGCUUGGUGAUGGGCGCCUGUCCCGCAAGGGACUCGCCUUGAAUACAUUGGCGGCCGGUACGUUGGCUUCGAGCGCAGCAGAAACGCGAACUCGAGCCCGGCGGACUGGCUCCCAUAAGCUACCAAAACCCAAAGUUUGACCUCGGAUCAGGUAGGGAUACCCGCUGAACUUAAGCAUAUCAAUAAGCGGAGGA